UGCCAGCAGCCGCGGUAAUACGAAGGGGGCUAGCGUUGUUCGGAAUUACUGGGCGUAAAGCGCAUGCAGGCGGAUCGCUAAGUCGGGGGUGAAAGCCCGAGGCUCAACCUCGGAACUGCCUUCGAUACUGGUGAUCUUGAGUCCGGGAGAGGUGAGUGGAACUCCGAGUGUAGAGGUGAAAUUCGUAGAUAUCAGGAGGAACACCGAUGGCGAAGGCAUCUCUCUGGGUCGAUAUUGACGCUGAGGCGCGAAGGCGUGGGUAGCGAACGGGAUUAGAUA
rnacentral:rRNA from 1 species